rnacentral:lncRNA from 1 species
UUCUAUUUUCUUUUUUUUUUCCUUUUUUUCAAUUUUUUCCCCUAUUCUAACACUCAGUCAACAUGCAAGCCGAAACAAACAGAUACACAAGUAGCACGUAAGAUGUAUCAGGAUGAUUUUUUAAUUUGGGUACACCUGUCCUAGACGGACUCAACUCCUAUGUUGAGUCCCCAAGGUCAAAUGCAUGUGAAGCAAACAAGCGUACCUACUAGGGAUCCGGCAUGAGGUUGUGUUAUUCUAGGUUUAAAAACCUGGGUGUAUUGUGCACUUCCCAGAAGAUUUAGAAGACUCAGAGAGAAGAAGGGUUUCAUAACAGUUUAUAUACAGUUCAAACAAUAUCAAAGCGGUAAAAAGCGGCAUUUAGCACAUUAGGCUCAAAAACAUAAAAAAUCAUAUAAUAAACAAAAGUCAACUAUAACAAUUAUUCUAAGCUUGAAUUCUGAACCCUGAACCAGAGAUUCUAAGUUUUUUUCCCCAGUAGAGUCAUUAGAACUGUCACACCUCCUUUUUCCCGCAGGAGGAUAUGGAGUUUUUCCAAUUAAAGUGACAUUUAUCGAAAUGGGACUAUUUAUUUAUUCAAAGUCGCCACUUGAAAUAUUUAUGGUGUUCCAAGUCACCGAUUUAUUUUAAAUCCCAAAUUGAGGAAGUUGACUCUUAUUAAAAUCUGCGAAACCAGAAGACCGGGUAAGGAAUUCUGUUAACCCGGGAGAAGGUGUGAGGCACUCCCGAGUUUCGUAGUUUUAGCACGGUCGCCCAACUAUUAAUAAUUGACCUAAUUAUCUAAUUAAUUACAUGUUUUAAACCUAUUGUACAUUUUUAACUUUCUAACCGUUUUUAAAUUAUUUAAAAUAAUUAUGGAAUUUGUUUGAACAAGUAGCGAUAUCGCGCACUCAUUUGUUUUUGUACACAUUGCGAAUUGCGUCACUGGAACCGUAUCCACGAUCUACAACAUAUUUAUUUUAUUAUUAUUCGAAGUUCUGGUCGAGUCACGUGAAACGCACGCUCGAAUUGGGAUUUAUGUAUCAUGACCAUGCCACGGGAACCGUACCCAUAGUCACGAUGAUUUAUUAUUAAUCGCGCCUAAAGCAAGCUACGAUGUUCAUUAAUUAUUUUCCUAAAAGAUAAUUUGAGAUUAUUAUGAGGCCAUGACUUGUGGAUAAGAAUUAUGGGAGAAAUGUAAAAAUACAACUAUUUGGUAUUAUUAACAAAUGAUCUACACUUAUAGAAUCAAAUACCGAAAGACGUCACAAAGAAUCCUCAGAAGAAAUAGCGGUCAACUUCUGAAUCUUUAAUUAUCAAACCUUUCUAAUCUCAUUAAAUUGUUUCCUCAUAACCUUCACAUACAAAAUCAAACCUUAUAAAAUCAUACCUUUUAAAUGAUUCCUUAAUAACUUUAAUAUGUAUAUUCUCUACAUCAACGCAAAUUAAAUGAUCAACUCAAGAUUACAUUUAUUUAAUUGACUCCAGUUGACUAACCAAUUGUUCCAUUUCGAAACAUAGAGAAUGCAAAUUGUUCCAUUUUUUAAUAACUUUAAUCUGUAUAUUCAAAAUUUCAAGAAUGCAAAUUCAUUCAAACCAAAAGCACUAAGGUAGAACACCAAAAAUUCUUGAAUUAAUUAAAGAAAUGAGAUAGAAAGGGACCUCAAACAGAGUUUCGCCUAUUAAUGAGAAUCUCCAACUUUACAAUUUCUGUUUGGAUGCAAAAUUGCUACGGAAAGCGACGAAGACCGAAACCUGAACCACGGACGCCUGACGGACCUCAAAUUGGAAAGAGGGAACAACGAUCUCAAACGGAAAAUCUCACCGGAAAACUCGAAUACCUCAUAAAUCGGGAGGUUGGGCAUGGGACGGAAAGAUAUCUUUUUCCAUUUGCGGCUGGUUCUGGGUUGAGCUAUGGAGUAUUGCGUGGGAGUGUUGUUGGUUUAAUUUGGAGAUGGAGAGAAAGAGAUGGUUGAAAUUUUUUAAGGGGAAGUGUGGGGGGUCGAGGUGAGAGCUUCAGCCAAAAAAAUAGGGAAAUGGCUGCUGCUUCUUCGAUGAAGAAGAAGGGGUCGUCUCUGGAUGCUGCCUAGGGGUGUUCAAGAGUG